UAUCACGGCAAUUUCACUUAAUAGGGUUUAACCCUUUUUAACACUAAGCAGAAACUGAAAAAAAAGGGAUAGAAACUGCUGCGACGUCAAAAGACGGAGAACGAAUUCAGAAAGUGUUCUAGAGGCUCAGACAUAAUCUCACCUCUAGAGUUUGAUAGCAGAUCUUGAUCCAAGGGUGAGCACUCUGUGUUCAGGCUACCAUGGGUCAUCCUAUUUGUUCUUAUCCAUCUUUCGGGCAAUGAAACAUUCUUUAUUUACUUUAUUUUUGAAUAUCUCUUUAGACAUGAUCUUUGUUAGUAGUUCUUGCGUGAUAACUUUCAGGUCUUGGAUAUUUUUGUAAGUAGUUUAUUGGAUUUUCACAUAAAUAAUGAUUAGUCCUAUAUUAUUGUUAUUA